GGCCCUGUGGCGAAAAGGUACCGCGUUGCCCUCCGAAGGCAGAGAUUGUGGGUUCGAUCCCCAUCAGGGUCG
rnacentral:tRNA from 1 species